rnacentral:rRNA from 1 species
GUGCAGCAGGCGCGAAAACUUUACAAUGUGCGAAAGCACGAUAAGGGAACUCUGAGUGCCUCCUAAGGAGGCUGUUCAGGUGUCUAAAAGCACCUGAAGGAAGGGCUGGGUAAGACCGGUGCCAGCCGCCGCGGUAACACCGGCAGCCCAAGUGGUAGCCACGUUUAUUGGGUCUAAAGCGUCCGUAGCCGGCUGGGUAAGUUCCUUGGGAAAUUUGGCUGCUUAACAGUCAAGCUUUCAGGGAAUACUGCCCGGCUUGGGACCGGGAGAGGUCAGAGGUACUCCAGGGGUAGGGGUGAAAUCCAUUAAUCCUUGGGGGACCACCGGUAGCGAAGGCGUCUGACCAGACCGGGUCCGACGGUGAGGGACGAAGGCUAGGGGCGCGAACCGGAUUAGAUACCCCUGUAGU